rnacentral:rRNA from 1 species
CAGCCGCCGCGGUAAAACGAAGGGGGCUAGCGUUGUUCGGAUUUACUGGGCGUAAAGCGCACGUAGGCGGAUCGAUCAGUCAGGGGUGAAAUCCCAGAGCUCAACUCUGGAACUGCCUUUGAUACUGUCGAUCUGGAGUAUGGAAGAGGUAAGUGGAAUUCCGAGUGUAGAGGUGAAAUUCGUAGAUAUUCGGAGGAACACCAGUGGCGAAGGCGGCUUACUGGUCCAUUACUGACGCUGAGGUGCGAAAGCGUGGGGAGCAAACAGGAUUAGAGACCCCGGUAGUCCCUGUCUCUUAUAC